GGAGGACGUGGAGCGGCCGCUGCGGAGGGAGCGGCUCAUGGAGGCGGUCUAGCCGGAGAUGGCAUACGGGGAGUCCGGCGAGCCCGCGCCCUCCUUGAUCCCUUACUAGGUCACGCCUCGUCCCGAUUCCCUUCGUCGCAUUGCCAUUUUGUUCUUCGGGGAUUUCGUUUAGGCUUUGCGGUGUCAGUGACCACUGAUUAGCAUUGGGGACAAUGGAAGAUGGCGUUCAUGAAAUUUUUGGUGAGGAUGCAUGCUGCAUUCGUUGGUGACGUGCAAGUUGCGAGAGUGUACGAACACGGAUCAGUUGCUGCUCUAAACCCAACAAUUCGGAGGAGGAAUGCAUGAGAAGCGAGUCCCCCAGCGAUGCCAAGGUCACACUGUUGUUUUGUUGUGGUUGAUAAACCUGAGACUUCUUUCUAUUCUUCAAGGCGGUUUGGUUUAGGCCAGCCAUGGAGCAGAAAGAACGGACAUUGCUACUUAAGCAAGAGGGAAGACCCGACGAGGCCAUUAUGCUUACCUUGCUCGAGCGCAUCAACCCCGACCAUGGCACCACAUUCACAGUCUUGAGGUAGCCGUGCUGCAACUACAUCAACGCUAUCUUCUCUGACUAGAUAAGGCUUCGGUCUAUCCCAUUAUUUUCUUUUCUUCUUUGGUCGAUGGGCCAUGAUGCCAUUGUGUUGAUUCCCUAUGUGAUGCAGAAGCUAUGGUGUUUU